GUCUACGGACAUACCACCCUGAACGCGCCCGAUCUCGUCUUAUCUCGGAAGAGUAGGAUCCCCCAUCCAGGUUCCCAUUAAAAUGCCCAUUAAAAUGGGGAUUCGUUGGUU
ensembl:rRNA 5S_rRNA 5S ribosomal RNA